GAACGGGUGCUGUAACACGGUGGACUACCUUCCUUCAGGUGGGGAAUAACCUAGUUGAAAACUGGGCUAAUACCGCUAUAACAUGCACGUAUGGCCACAUGCUGUUCGCUCUUCAAAGGCGCAAGUCGUCCCAGCAAUGAUGGGCAUCCGCGGUCGAUUAGCUUGUUGGCCGACGGUAAUGGCUCACCAAGGCAUUGAUCGGUAGCCGGAUCUUGAUGAGGUUGGCCGGCCACACUGGAACCUUGAGACACGGUCCAGACUCAUACGGGAGGCAGCAGUGGGGAAUCUUGCACAAUGGACGAAAGUCUGAUGCAGCAACGCCGCGUGGGGGAUCGAAGCUUUUCGGAGUGUAAACCCCUUUCGACCCGGAAGAAUGCCCGCAAGGGUUUGACGGUACGGGUAUAAGAAGCCCCGGUAACUACGUGCCAUGCAGCCGCGGUCAUUACGU
rnacentral:rRNA from 1 species